CCUAUACAGAUUGUGACCAGGCUAUUUGAAGGGCUGUAUCUCUGUAUAUAGUUUCUUUGAGCUCUAAGAUCUUCAAGCAAUUCGUAAACUCCUGCGAACCCGCUCUUUAACUCCCCUGUCUGCAGUAAAGGAAUGUCUCCUAGCGAAGGGAGGUGAGAGCUGUUCAAGGUCGGUUUUAAUUGGCUUUUGGGCAAGAACAUCAACAUCAGGCAUUUUGAAGGAGUCCGGCUGUUGUUGAUCCGGAGAAAACCCCAUGUUUUCAUCCUCAUCUGCCACAGUGACACUAGGAACGGGACUACAAGGCCCAUGAGGCAUCACACAUGAUUUCAUUUUCAUUUUUGGAAGCUGAGAACCAUGGAAAGGAAGCAAGAAUUUAUUUGGCCUGUUCCUAAAUUGGUGGAUGAAGGUGGAAAUUACCUUAAGCCGACUGGAAUUGAUCCUGAAUGUCAAACAGACUGAGGUCUGUGGCCAAGAUCUGCCAGCAGCCAAAAGUGACGGAUAUGCAGACUGGUUCCAAAUCGACAAAUGGAUUAGUGCAGUUGUCUCUUUAGAAAUCCCUGCAAAUAUCAAGGAUCAAAUUUACUUCCUGCUUCAAAGAAC
rnacentral:lncRNA from 11 species